rnacentral:rRNA from 1 species
GCUGGCGGCAGGCCUAACACAUGCAAGUCGAGCGGUAGAGAGAAGCUUGCUUCUCUUGAGAGCGGCGGACGGGUGAGUAAUGCCUAGGAAUCUGCCUGGUAGUGGGGGAUAACGUUCGGAAACGGACGCUAAUACCGCAUACGUCCUACGGGAGAAAGCAGGGGACCUUCGGGCCUUGCGCUAUCAGAUGAGCCUAGGUCGGAUUAGCUAGUUGGUGGGGUAAUGGCUCACCAAGGCGACGAUCCGUAACUGGUCUGAGAGGAUGAUCAGUCACACUGGAACUGAGACACGGUCCAGACUCCUACGGGAGGCAGCAGUGGGGAAUAUUGGACAAUGGGCGAGAGCCUGGUCCAGCCAUGCCGCGUGUGUGAAGAAGGUCUUCGGAUUGUAAAGCACUUUAAGUUGGGAGGAAGGGUUGUAGAUUAAUACUCUGCAAUUUUGACGUUACCGACAGAAUAAGCACCGGCUAACUCUGUGCCAGCAGCCGCGGUAAUACAGAGGGUGCAAGCGUUAAUCGGAAUUACUGGGCGUAAAGCGCGCGUAGGUGGUUAGUUAAGUUGGAUGUGAAAUCCCCGGGCUCAACCUGGGAACUGCAUUCAAAACUGACUGACUAGAGUAUGGUAGAGGGUGGUGGAAUUUCCUGUGUAGCGGUGAAAUGCGUAGAUAUAGGAAGGAACACCAGUGGCGAAGGCGACCACCUGGACUGAUACUGACACUGAGGUGCGAAAGCGUGGGGAGCAAAC